rnacentral:snoRNA from 1 species
AGCCUCCCGGUGCUUACCACAGGCUGUGUUCUGACAUUGACUGUAUAUUAAGAGGAGGCAAAGUAAACCGCAGGCCCUGUGUGUGGUCUGUAUUGUGAAUGGAGACAUGG